UACGGAGGGUGCAAGCGUUAUCCGGAUUUACUGGGUUUAAAGGGUGUGUAGGCGGGCUUUUAAGUCAGGGGUGAAAUCUCCGGGCUCAACCCGGAAACUGCCAUUGAUACUAUUAGUCUUGAAUUUUGUUGAGGUAGGCGGAAUAAGUCAUGUAGCGGUGAAAUGCAUAGAUAUGACUUAGAACACCAAUUGCGAAGGCAGCUUGCUAAACAAAUAUUGACGCUGAGGCACGAAAGCGUGGGGAUCAAACAGG
rnacentral:rRNA from 1 species